rnacentral:tRNA from 1 species
GGUGAUAUAGCUUAACAGCAGAGCACAUGCUUAUUAGCACGCAUAAAGUCCUGGGUUCAAUCCCCAGUACCGCCA